rnacentral:lncRNA from 1 species
UGACGAUAAAAGCAAAGGUUAUAAUGUAAAAUUAAAGUUUUGAGCUUGUGAACGUCAUGAAGAAUAGUUCUUUGACAUAAAAUAACGUGUAACGUUUGUUGUACUGAGUAAACACUUAUACUGUUUGAUACUGAAAGAUGCCUCUGGACUGCAUUUUUGACACAGUUUUAAAUAGCUUGUAUGUGAAGAAUAUGCAUACCGAAGACUAAAAGUAUUUUGAUUCUUCUAUCUUAUCAAUGAAUUUAGAAAUACUAGGGUCAAUCACAAUUCAUUAGUGUAGGAUAGAAACCGACAGAAUCGUGGUAAAAAGCCGAAUAGCGAC